GUUUUCUAGGAGAGGUGGCAGGGCCCCGACGAGGCGGGUAGAGGCGGGCGGGAGCUCAUCCUGAGCCGGGCGGGUUGUCGGAGAGGUGCGGCCGGAAGACCUCGACGCGGAGGGUGGUAUCGAUCGGAGGGGCGUGGGAGGGCAACAACUACCAAACCCAGACGGAUGGCUCCCUCUUCCCCUACUACCGACGGCGAGGAAGAGAGCUCGGGAACGGCGCUACUUCGGCACCCUCCUCUCCCCGUGCACGUGCCACCUGGACGAGGCUCGGGGAGUUCGCUGGGUAGAAGUUCCACUAGUGAAGUAGGUGUACUCCUCCACGUACCCUCUCCGACCACCACGCUUUCCGUCCCUACACGGACGGCUCGGGCUACUGCCCCUGCCCAGGCCCCUUUAAAAGUAACCGCUACAUCGGGCCUUCUGUUGGCUUCCAUCUAUACUCAUUAAGUACAUCCAACAAAACGAUUCCUACCCUGUUAAAAUCUAAACACCGCUUGCUACACCCACCCAGUCAACACAUACGUUGUUGUUAAGAUUUUGCUACUUGACAAGAAG
rnacentral:rRNA from 1 species